rnacentral:misc_RNA from 1 species
UUUGCAUGUCUAUGACCAAACCAAAAAAAAGAGAAAAAAAAAAUUGCUAAAGAAACAAAAGAAUGGAUGGCUGCGUGUAUGAUUACUCUGCUUUACAUGGGCGCCUAGCUGCAAGCGCCUUCAAGUGUGAAUUUGUUAGAAAGGAGACCUCUCCCAAGGAAGUAACCCAGUUGCAGUAUCAGCAAAGUUGGCCAAGACAAAAUCCUUAAGACCAGUGUCCCAAACUUCACAGAACCGUAGCCGCCAAUCAGGUCCCUAAUCCAGGUGCUCUGUCUUUUGAACCUUUGUUUUGGUCCUCUUGCCAGUUAGUAACGUAUGUAGAAACUCGCCUGAAGAACUUGGCUUUGAAAGUAUCCCACACCUGGUAUUUAUAGUGGUUCACUACAGCUGUGCUUUCAGGCACAUUCAGGUACCUGUAUCCACGCUGUAAUCUGAAGUGAUGCACCACGUUGAGAAGGGUUACAUCUAGGAGUUCUGGACGCACAAUAGAUUUGUGCCGUUCAGGAGC